ACAUAUAAAAUGAACGUAGAGACAUAUCGAAACGUGUAUGCAUACAUAUUUAUGUACUUAUAUACAAAUAUUAUGUACAAUGGAACGUUUUAUAAAAACAACUGGAUGCAUCUCUCAAUAAUAUAAGAAUUGAUUUUAUUAGAUGAUGAGGGUAACUCUACAACAAAUAAGUCACAUACUACGUUACGUGAAAUUAACUAUUAUAUACAUAUAUAUAUAUAUGUAUAUACAAACUUGUUUUUACUUAAAACUUUGAUUAAUGGUUUUCAUUUGCAAGGAUAAAAAUUACAUUCAUGUGUUGACAAAGCUUUAUAUUAAAAAGUGUUGUCUAAUAGUUUAACAUUCAUCAUUCGAAGAAAUUGCGAUUGGGAUAGGUAAAUGCAAAAUGAUACACAGUACGCAAAAUGAAACAUAGUACGAACAAUACCAAUUUGAAUUAAACGAUUUUGUACGAAUAUGUAGUUGAAGUGAUCAACAAAACUAUAGAAGCAAUAUUACAUAAUUAUAUGUAUACCUUAUUUAAUUUAAAAAUAUCUCAUCAAGCAUCUUUAUAAAUCGGUUAUUAAAAAGAAUGGAUUGUAUAAUACAAACAUGUGCAAGAAUUGAAUUAUUUUCCAACUAUACGAUUCGCAUGCGCCCUCUCUUCGAAUUGAGUUAUGAGUAUACAAACUCUGGAAAUAUUUAAUUUUUUCUUAAAAUGAUGACUACGAAGAACAUCGGAAGACAUACGUCAACAAAAAUAAGAAAAGUGAUCUGAUAAUCAACGAAACAAUAUCCUUACUGAUUCUAAAUUCGAAUUUGUAAAUAAAGAAAAGUAACAUUUUCAGGCACAAAAAGCUGCCUCACAUCUUAUGAGUUCUUUUCAGCGUUAUAAUGAUUAUGUAUGUAUGUACCAUAUGUAUGUGUGUAUAUGUAUAUAUGUAUAUAAAAAUGUAGAAAAUUCAUGUAAACAUUAUUUUAAGUUUGGUAAUGUGUAUAUACGUUACUUUUGCAGAAAAUAAAUUGUAAAAUAAUUAAAAGCCAGCUUUAUUUAAAAACAUAUUGCGGUAUUGGCCUUAGAUGAUGCAAAAAGUUUUUUUAAACAAAUUAGAUUUUAGUUUUUAUUCAAGCUGAGUUUAUAAAAAAAUAUGGCCAGACGUUUUUGGAUCCAGAUUCCGAAGGAGUGAUAAAAAUUCACAGCCUGCAAUCCCUUUAUCAGUCUAAUCUUGCAACAGAUGUUAUAUACUCUUUCAAAGUAAAUCUAUCAUAUUGUGACUGGCAUUUAGUCAUGCAUUAAUACAUAUAAAAUAUUUAAUUAUAACUUUGUAAAUUAUAUAUUCCUAAUUAUUCUGAUAGAGUGUAUUAAUCUAGAAAUAGAAUAUUAACUGAACCAAUAUAAUGACCACAAUAAUAAAAUUUGUGGAAAACCCUGUUGACGCCAUUUACUUGCUCUUAGUCAAUAGAUAUUAUUUCAGUGUCUCAUGACGUCGAAUUCUCAUCUU